rnacentral:rRNA from 1 species
UACGGAGGGUGCGAGCGUUGUCCGGAAUCACUGGGCGUAAAGGGCGCGUAGGCGGCGAGGGGAGUCAACGGUGAAAGCUCGGCGCUCAACGCCGAGUCGGCCGUCGAUACUCCCGUGCUCGAGCACUGUAGAGGCAGGUGGAAUUCCGGGUGUAGCGGUGGAAUGCGUAGAGAUCCGGAAGAACACCGGUGGCGAAGGCGGCCUGCUGGGCAGUAGCUGACGCUGAGGCGCGACAGCGUGGGGAGCAAACAGG